CAUAAACACGGCAAGAUGGCGGCGCUCACGCCGCCCGCCCGCCCGUGCUGCGUCAUGUCGCGCCCCGGCCCCGCCGCGCCCGCAGGCUCGCCGAGAUUUGCGUUCAAGCCGCGCUGAGGAAGAUGGAAAUGAGGUUUGCUCCCCACACGCCUCAUGAGCCCGUAUAGGCUGAGAGCAGCUCGCAGCGCUGGAAGAUCCUCGACCCGAGGCUGAGAGCUGCAGUUCGGGUUUUUUGAUGCACAGGGAUGUGCAUCUGCCACUGGAAAAAGCCUCUUUCAACCAGAGCAGAAAACAGAGAAAACCAUGAGGACUGCUUGGGUUUUUCCUUGGAUCUUCUUAAGCCAGGCGCUGCAGCCUCACCUGUAGCUCAGGACACGGCAGUCCCCAGUGCUGUGCCCACACAGGGUCACUUUUUAAAUUAAGGCAAAUUUGCUCAGAUUUGGUUCUGGACAGCAGUGCCAGGGGAGCCCAGAGCUGGAGCCCAUGGGAUGGAAGGGUGGAGAGGGCAGGGGGUUGUGGGUGCUCCCUCUGCCACCUCCUCCCCACGGUGAAUGUCAGAGCUCUAUUGACUGCCCUCUCUUUGAAUUAACUCCAGGAGCAGGCAAAGUACACUGAAUAAUUCAGGAGAGAUGUGUUUAAACAUUUGCACAAGCUUCAGAUUCCUCCUGCCUAAAAAUAAGUCUGGCAGAGAGCAAAUGGUUCCUGGUCAAGGUGUUGGUGAAUGGACAACAGAGCUGUGGACCCCAUCCCAGCACCCAAGAAGACCCCAUCCAUGGGUCUUGUCCCUGCUGCUGGGACCAGCCUGGCGCUGAUGGUGGUGGAAAGUUCAUGAGCUGAGGGCUGCACACACAAGGGCAGCACCAGCACAGGCAGGUUUGGUCUGCUGGUAGCAAAGAGCCCUGGGGAAAGGGCUGGUAGAGGAGCAGGGGAGGUCAGUGAGCAUCAGGGGUUUAAGUGCUACAGGGAGAGCUGUUUUCCGUGGUGGGAUUCUCACCUCCUCCAUUUUUUAAAAUGAGCUUAAGGAAAACGCACAAGAAAAAGGUGUCAGUGUUUGAGCAGAAGUGAUUCUUCCAGAUGGAAGUGGAUGAGGAGGAGUCAGUCCUUUUCUCAUGGAAGCACGGGCUGUGCUGGAUGCCAUGGACAGAUCACAGAGACAAUGUGAGAAGCUCCAUGAGGAUGUUCCUGAUUUCCUGUGUUCCAUAUGCAAGCAGUUUCCUGAAACACGUGUGCUCACAUUCCCUGAGUGAUAAAAAAGUCACAUGGUUGGCUGAGCAAAAUCUCCUCACUGUGCAGAGCAACCACGUCUCCAGCAUCCAAAACCUUGCUGCAUCCUGGUUUGAAAUGUAUCCAGGGGACUCUGGAAAUGAAAAUUUCCAGAGGUUUAUUGCUAAUUAAGCCUAAUUAAUUUUGGAUGUAAACGUACCAAGCUUCUGUAGUUGUGUUUGCAGCCCUAUUAAAGGAAAUCUCAUGGGUGUUUUAUCUGAAAAUUAUUAGAGGAACAAGGUCUGUUUAGUUUCUUCUUAGACUAUGGACUUCUCACUUCUUCACCACUUGAACGCGGCUAAGUUAAUAUCGCAGCCUUUUAAAACAACUGCCUGAAAUACAAGAGGAAAUGAGGAAAACAGAGAGAUGGGAGAAAAUUCCUACACUGCUCCUCACCUCCAUAGGUUUCAUGGACUGGAGUGGUAACAUCAGCUAUUUCCAACAGAUUUUGUGUUGCAGCCUGGAUGUUCUCAGUAGGUUUGAAACCCAUAUCCAAGUGCACUGUGACAAUUCUGCUCUUAAUGUGUGCCAUUUAAAGGCCAGCCAGGAUGACAGAGACCAGCCAGAAUGUCACAUUUCUCUGUCUCUUAAGAUCCUUGACACUUUCUUUUUUCCUCUUCCCACACCUUUCCACAGCAGCUACAUGGUCCUGCUGACUCCAUUCAACCAGCACAGCAGGACUGGGGCCCUCAGCUCAUCCCUAAUGCGAAAAAACUCCACUUUCCUCCAGACUUGGAGCUUGUUUGCCACCCUGCCUGUAUUUCUGAACCCUCUGUGCCAUUAUGAACAACACCCUUCCUGGGAACACAACCUUAAUUCCCAAUCUCCUUAUGACAGAGGGAGGGGGAAUAUGGUGAAGCCCAGCUCAAAAUGCUGCUUUGUAACCCAGACUGAGGAACUGGAAUUUCCAAAAGUGCACGUGAGAAAAACAGCAGCAGCAGAGUGAGCUUUGGAAUUUGUCCAAGCAUUAAAGAUUUUAGAAAUGCUACGUGCUCUAUGUCACAUGUGUCCCCCUGAGUGGGACGGGGAACCUGCAAUGCUGGGCAUGACCUGAGAAAUGCCCCAGCCAUGUAAACAAGCUCUGGGGUGUGUGGGCAGAGAGGGACAUGAUCAAUAUUGUAUCAUUUUGGUGAUAAACGUGGCGUUUCUGAUCCUAAAAUAUUUAAUUCUUGCUCUGGUUGAGGUCACUGCUCUGCUUUGUCCCCUCCUGUGCUUUGUGCCUCUCCACCAGCACAUUCCAGUUCCAGUAAGUGCUAAACUUACCCUUAUAAAAGCCAGCUGUUGCACAUACAGCUUUUUCUGGGAUAUGUAUAUCUCUCCCAGAGAAAAAGCUCCAUAUAUAUCCAUAAAUACCCGUGGACGUGGAGUCAGUCUAUGAGCAGGAGCAUUGUCUAGCUCCAGUGGUGUGGCUGGCAGACAGCCAGGCAGCAAGUGGGUACCUGUGAGCUGUGCCAGCACCAAGCUCAUCCUUCUGGAAAGGGCUCUGCUGGGAAGUGGAUGAGCUCAAGAAAAUGCAUUUGAGCUUCUGGGCAGUAUUGAUCUGUCUUUAUGUAUUUUAUUAAUCUGCUUGAAGCAUAAUAAAAACGUGCUCAUGGAAUGAGUUGGAGUUCAGAGGAGGGGGAGCCAGAAGUGGGGUUUGGAGCUGGCCACCAUCACCAUCUUCAUCCUUUGCAGCUGCUCUAGAGCUCGACACAAACCCAGUUUCUGCUUCCCAACAAGGCAACAGAAGGGAUAUUUUUCAGCAGAGAAAUUUGGGGGAAAAAAAUGAAAAUAAAGCUGUUGGUUUGGUUUGGUGUAAGAACAGUGAACAAGCAGAAAGAUGUCAAUGGGAAAGAGCAGACGAUGAGGGCAAGCAGCAACAUGAACACGCCUGCUGCAGGGUUGAGACACAGCAGCAGCAUCUUCCCACUCCCCAGCUUGGAGCAAAGUGAGUGAACUCCAUCCCCCCGGCCAGGAAAGUCGGGAAUAGAGCUCCUGUCCCACCUCCCACACACGGCUCUGGCAGCUCGCUCCAGCCCUGCCCAGGAAAUCCCCCUGCAGCAUGGUUGUGGCACCCUCGGAACAGGGGCUGCUCUGCGUGGGCAGAAUCUAAUCUUCUUUGUGCAAAGUACCCUUGGACUACCGACAUGAAGUAGCUCUCCUUCCACAAACUGAGAUUAUUCGCUUUUAAAAAAAGGGUUGAGCCCCAUCUUCAGAAGUAGUUAAUUACUCGGAAGCAAUUCACACCUUCCUGGUGUCUCAAAAUAAAUUCUCUCACUUGCUUUUCCAAGCAGAGCCCUCUGAAAACAGUGUCACCAGCGGGGUUUCACGCAUGUUCCAUGAGCACAGGAAGCUGAAGAUAAAUUCAGCAACAGAUCAGAUGUAAAGAACUUGUGUACUUGGGUGUCUAUUUAUACAGCUCCUGUGCCAGUCCCACGAGUAGCCAGGGGCCUCACAGGCUCUGCGAUAUUCCGUGGGGAUGGGGUGCAGUGGUACCCACCACACCCAGCUGAAGGGGUGGUUUGGGACACCCAGGGUUUGCCUGGGUGAGCCCCUCCACCUGUGCUGCCCCAAAGCUGCUCUUCCUGGCCCUGCAUCCUGGCUCCUCCCCAUCCUCCAGCAUGGGGAGAACCAGAAAUAAAAUUAAUAAAAUUAUUUCUAAUUUCAACACCAGUCUGCAGAAGCGCACAAGGGCAUGGAGUUGUUCUCAGAAUGCUCUCAAAUACUACUACAGGUUAAGGAAUUUUACAUCCCUGUUUACUCAUCACACUGAGCCUCUGACUUCAUUGCAUCCUCCUGAAUUUUGCUGAUACGAGUGAGGAGAACCAGGCCCCAGAGUUACUGCCAGGAACAAAUCAAUGACAAACUGGAAGUGCUUAGCUGGUGUUAAAUCACCUUUAUAUAAAGGUCCUGUCAAUCCCAAGCUGAUGCCAUUGGUGAUUUAAAGCACUUUACCAUAUGCCCCUCACUGUACCUUGAAAUACAAUGAAAAAAAAAGCUUUUAAAACAUUUAUACAUUUUAAAGUAGAGUGGAAAUAUCCCAUUUCAGAGGCAAAGGUGAAGCUUGAAAUCAAACUGCAGAGUGGGCAAGUAAGGGAUAAUCUGUGCAUCCAUCCCUACCCUUUAAAGAAGGCUACAAGAGAGAAUUUGUUGGAAUUUAGCAUGAUUUUUAAAUCACAAAUGCCAAGACAGUCAGAUCUCAUGUUCUGUAUUUUGCCUUUUAUUUUUUUGGUGGAGAAUAUCAGUGAAUCGUGGAAUUUGCAAAAUAAAGAAGGAUGUAAGAUACAAGAUA